GUUCAUGUGUGCGAAAUGUUUCUAGAACCAUAUAAACUGAGCUUUGUUUAUAUUCUGUUUAGAAUUCUGAGGCAUUAUUACACUCUUUGAUCUAUGUUGACCAAAGAAAAAUGUAUGUCUUCAAACGAGUGCUCUGGAAAAGUCCUCUGUAACAAAUAGCUACAGAUUUCUUCUAUCCAAGGAGGACACCUAGAGGCUACUUUCGUGAUGUGAUUGCCAAUCCUGAAAUGCUUUCCAAAUUGUUUUCUUCACAGAUCCAAUCAUAAAUCAUUCAUUGCAGGUCCAGUAAGUCCAGGUAAAACAAUGAAUAACUAAUCUUUAAGGAGAGGAAAAAGGUGAAAAUAAGUUACAUUUAUUUUCCAGGCACAGUAGAAGUACAUUACAAGAUACAGAAGAACUCUUAAAGGCCACUUUGCAUAAACCAGACACUGUACUAGAAGCUGGGGAUACGCUGGUAAAUGAGACCAACUCUGCCCUCAGGGAGCUGAGAAUCUAGUGAGGAAGACAGCUACAAAACAAAAAGCAGAGUCACGAGAGAUACAGUUAGGAAGCUGGAGAAGAAACAAGGAAGCUAAGGAAAGUCUGUCAAGCCCUCUCAUGGAAAACCUGUGAAAAUAUCUUUGCAGCUUCUUCCUCUGCACUUGCAGCCUUUCUACAUAGCUCAGGGGGAAAUACAGUAGUUUUGAAGUCAAUAAUCACUUAUUCACUAAAGGAAGACACUUGUGUAUACAAUAAAGGAUGGCAUUUCUAUGAAAUUGUCAG
ensembl:lncRNA